CACGUAGGGGGGCGAGCGUUUGUCCGGAUUUAUUGGGCGUAAAGAGCUCGUAGGCGGCUCAGUAAGUCGGGUGUGAAAACUCCAGGCUCAACCUGGAGACGCCACCUGAUACUGCUGUGGCUAGAGUCCGGUAGGGGAGCAUGGAAUUCCUGGUGUAGCGGUGAAAUGCGCAGAUAUCAGGAGGAACACCAGUGGCGAAGGCGGUGCUCUGGGCCGGAACUGACGCUGAGGAGCGAAAGCAUGGGGGAGCGAACAGG
rnacentral:rRNA from 1 species